GACGAACGCUGGCGGCGUGCCUAAUACAUGCAAGUCAAGCGGAAUUUAGAAAGCUUGCUUUUUAAGUUUAGCGGCGGACGGGCGAGUAACACGUGGGCAACCUGCCUAUAAGACUGGGAUAACUUCGGGAAACCGGAGCUAAUACCGGAUAAUAUAAAAGAUCAUAUGGUCUUUUAUUGAAAGAUGGCUUCGGCUAUCACUUAUAGAUGGGCCCGCGGCGCAUUAGCUAGUUGGUGAGGUAAUGGCUCACCAAGGCGACGAUGCGUAGCCGACCUGAGAGGGUGAUCGGCCACACUGGGACUGAGACACGGCCCAGACUCCUACGGGAGGCAGCAGUAGGGAAUCUUCCGCAAUGGACGAAAGUCUGACGGAGCAACGCCGCGUGAGCGAUGAAGGCCUUCGGGUCGUAAAGCUCUGUUGUUAGGGGAAGAACAAGCAUCGUUCGAAUAGGGCGGUACCUUGACGGUACCUAACCAGAAAGCCACGGCUAACUACGUG
rnacentral:rRNA from 1 species